UAUUUAAGUUAGUUUUUUUGAGGAAUUUACUUUUGGCCAUGCUUAGUUGUUGGCUUGAAAAUUUCCCAUUUCUGAUUAA
rnacentral:snoRNA from 1 species